UACGUAGGGUGCGAGCGUGUCCGGAAUUACUGGGCGUAAAGAGUUCGUAGGCGGUUUGUCGCGUCGUUCGUGAAAACUUGGGGCUUAACUCCAAGCGUGCGGGCGAUACGGGCAGACUUGAGUACUACAGGGGAGACUGGAAUUCCUGGUGUAGCGGUGAAAUGCGCAGAUAUCAGGAGGAACACCGGUGGCGAAGGCGGGUCUCUGGGUAGUAACUGACGCUGAGGAACGAAAGCGUGGGUAGCGAACAGG
rnacentral:rRNA from 1 species